rnacentral:rRNA from 1 species
UUUGUUGGGUGGAUGAGUGGCGAACGGGUGAGUAACACGUGAGUAACCUGCCCCCUUCUUUGGGAUAACGCCCGGAAACGGGUGCUAAUACUGGAUAUUCACUGGCCUUCGCAUGGGGGUUGGUGGAAAGGGUUUUUCUGGUGGGGGAUGGGCUCGCGGCCUAUCAGCUUGUUGGUGGGGUGAUGGCCUACCAAGGCUUUGACGGGUAGCCGGCCUGAGAGGGUGACCGGUCACAUUGGGACUGAGAUACGGCCCAGACUCCUACGGGAGGCAGCAGUGGGGAAUAUUGCACAAUGGGCGCAAGCCUGAUGCAGCGACGCCGCGUGAGGGAUGGAGGCCUUCGGGUUGUGAACCUCUUUCGCUCAUGGUCAAGCCGCAACAAUGGUUGUGGUGAGGGUAGUGGGUAAAGAAGCGCCGGCUAACUACGUGCCAGCAGCCGCGGUAAUACGUAGGGCGCGAGCGUUGUCCGGAAUUAUUGGGCGUAAAGGGCUUGUAGGCGGUUGGUCGCGUCUGCCGUGAAAUCCUCUGGCUUAACUGGGGGCGUGCGGUGGGUACGGGCUGACUUGAGUGCGGUAGGGGAGACUGGAACUCCUGGUGUAGCGGUGGAAUGCGCAGAUAUCAGGAAGAACACCGGUGGCGAAGGCGGGUCUCUGGGCCGUUACUGACGCUGAGGAGCGAA